rnacentral:lncRNA from 1 species
UUUAAUUUAUAGGCUGAGGGUGUGACACAUUCUGGUCCGACCAAACUUGUGCUGUACUUUACCGGAGCUACCAACAUCCUCUAUACAUUUGGUGGACACGCUGUGACUGUGUAAGUCUUCUUUUCAUAUCAUUUUUUUCAAUUUAUUGUAUAUUUCGCAACCAUAAAAGAACAAAAAAUAUUCAGGUAGAUGGAUUCGCAACAGUAAAUUCUAUAAUUCAUUUCUGAUUAAGUAAACUAAGUUAAAAUCUAUUUUGCAUAUCCAACAUUUGUUUUGCUGAAAGUACUGAGAAUCUUAUAGUUUUAAUUAAAAAGAGGACAGUUUCUCUGAAGAGUGUUUCAUACUUUUUAGUUUACUCUUCUCUUUUAACUUGUAUAUAUGCAGCUUUUGCCGGUUACUUAGAUUCUGUCCGAACUGCACAAACAGACAAAAUCAUUAUUACGCAAUAUACAAAGAAAAAUACCUUUUUGGCACACUAGGUUUUUUUUCCACGACCUUUUCUAACUUUUUGUUUGUUUGUUUACUCGCGAUAUAUACAUCUUUUAGAGUACGUAACAUAACCACACUGGUCGGACCGAACCGCAAUCUCUGGUUGGACCAAGAGAUCCAACGGCAGUGACUUUUGUGCUCUUCCUUUUUCAAUUUACUUAUAAAUAUAAUUAUAAAUAACAGGGAAAUAAUGCAUGCGAUGUGGAAACCAAGGAAGUUUAAGAGCAUAUACCUGAUGGCGACACUGUACGUCUUCACGUUAACGCUUCCGUCAGCCUCCGCCGUCUAUUGGGCUUUCGGCGACCAGCUUCUCAACCACUCAAAUGCUUUCUCUCUCCUCCCUAAAACGCGUUUCC